GCCAAAUUGCCUGUGAAGGAGCAUAUUGCUGACAGAGAAGCUGUCACUUGUAUAAAGCUGUCACCAGAAAACGUGCCUGAGUGUUUGAGGAGCGAAGGAAAACAAAACUCACAACUUCUGAGGGACUGCAUCUGAGUGCUGGCUCUCCAAACUGCUGCUCACUUCGUGGUGCUCAGCUCUGAAGAUCUUGCUUAAAGAAAUCCCACGGAGGUCAGAGCCAGUUCCUGCUAUCAAAGUACAACAAUGCCCCAGGAGUUUGGGGAGAUCAAGGAAGAGCUGGAAGGCAAAGAAGACCACAAGUAGCUGGACAGCUACUGAAAUAAUUCCUGGCAGAUUUGCAUAACCUGCACUUUAAAUCCUCAAAUCAGCAGCUGGAUUAACUCCCUGCAAUGCUGCAAACUGUUGGGUGACCCAGGCUGUGAACCCAGACCCGG
rnacentral:lncRNA from 1 species